GGCUGCUUCGGCGCUUCCUCCCGAAACGUGUCGCGCCGCCUGCGCCAGGUGACUGCCGAAGUGGCGAGUCCAGCGCCGUCGCCGCGCCUCGCCGUGCGGCCAUCUCCGGCGGCCCUUCGUCGGUCCGCCCCACGACCUCUCCCCCUCCCCCUCCGGCCAUCUCCUCCAGCGGCGGCACCCUGCUGCAGUAGCAGCGGGCAGCGUCCGAAGCCGCAGCACCCUCCGCCUCCCUCCAACUCCAAGAACAGCGCCGGUAGCAGCCAUCGAGGAAGGCGAAAACAGCCACAUCAGUUGCGUUCCGCAAUAUGUUUGACGAGGACAUUGAGCAAGAGGUGAAGGAUUGGGAAGAGACCCAGACCCAUGCUGACAUUGAUGAAGGGAAUGUUGCUGCUGCUCAUGUUGAGUGGAUAUUUGAAUAUGUAUGUGUUGACAUGUUGUACACUUGUACUGGUGUUUUAUGCUGCAUUGCAGUUUAAAUUGUCCAUGUUGAGUGCUUGAAAAAACAGACAAAAUACUGUUGAAGUUUGCAAUUCAA